ensembl:lncRNA
ACAGCCAUUAACAAAUAUAGCUAGUGAAGAAAUAGAUUAUACAUCAUAUCUGAAGCACUGUUAAAUAUAUUGAAAUAUAUUUUGAAAACACUGGAUGGGCGCGCGCUGAACUGGAGCGGAGGACGUCACCAUGGAAACGGGGCGGCAGCUCAACUGUCAAGCAGCUGAACGCUGUCUCUCAUGGUUGUUUUUACUAAUUUCAGAUUCUUCCAUGCUGAUGUCCAUACCCUAGAGUUGGAGCGUGUAUCUUGUCGAAGAUCAUUUUUAGACAUUAUGAGACAUAUGACUUGGGGGCAAAAUACAUUGAGUCAAAGUUUAGCUCCAACCCCAAUUAAGCAGACCUGAGCAGCUGAUCAAAGAUCACCAGAAACUCUGCAGAACGGUGGUCCUGCAUGCCCAGGACUGGACACCAGUGUUAUGCUGGAGAAAAAACAGCGAAAAAACAUCUGCCAUGGCUCAUUAAUCCAGAAUUGGGAUGGUGGAAGGAGCAGAAGAACCAGAAGAUCAGAGAUCAGGCAGAGAUCUACUGGUGCCCCUGUGGGAACCAAUUUACCUAAUGAGUUAGUUAAACCAAAGAUUUUCAUCACUCACCUUCAUGUUGUUCCAAGUCAGACUUUUGUUCAUCUUUGAAACAUAAAUGCAGAACUUUUUAAUGAAAUCUGAGAAAUUAAUUUUUUUAUUUAUAAAAUAACACAUUCACGAGAGCACCAUGAUGCAUUAGUGUUGAGUUGGCGUGAGAGCUGGCAAUCUCAUGGUACUUUUGUGAAAAUCUGUUGGGGAUACAUCAUUUCUGAAUACAUUUUUGCUGUUGUUGUUUUUUUGUACACAAGGCAUCUGUUAAAAAACCUUAAUUUGUGUUCUGCACAAAAGGGUCUUAUGGGUUUGGAGCAACAUGAGGGUAAGUAAUUAAUGACAGAAUUUACAUUUUUGGUUGUUCUAAUGUGGUUAUUAUUGGUCAUUAUUUCCAUUUUCAAUAUUUUAAAGAUUUAUUGUCUUGAAAAAUUAUGUUUAUACAGAAAGAUUGAUUCAUUGGAUAAGUUACAGUAAAGACUUUUAAAUUGAUAAAAAAUUAAAAUAAAUACUGCUCUUUUGCAAGCUCUAUUAAAAAAUACUGAUAAAUUUAAUGGUUUCAACAAAAUAUUAAGCAGCACAACUGUUUUCAACAUUGAUAAUAAUCAGAAAUGUUUCUUGAGCAGCAAAUCAUCAUAUUAGAAUGAUUUUUGAAGAUCAUGUGACACUGAAGACUGGAGUAAUGAUGCUGAAAAUUCAGUUUACAUGGAUAAAUUACAUUUUACAAUGCAUCCGCAUAGAAAAACAAUUAUUUCUGUAGUUAUAUUUCACAAUAUUACUGUUUUUACGGUCUGUUUAAUCAAAU